UAGUAAUUGGCGCGACUACAGUGGAGUUUGGCACAACGGCGGUGGAAUCUGACACAACGAUGGUGGAGUUCGGCACAACGCGGUGGAAUUUAGUGCAUCGGUGCUAUUGAUGAGAAGAAAGACGAAUCAAAGCCUUUGAUGUUUCUUCCAGAGCUCACCGUCAACAGUCUGUAUUUGUAUCUUGUGUCCAAUAAAAUUGGUGCAGAAUUGCAAAUAGCACCAAACCAGCUGUUGUGGAGUUUGAUUUUUGAUCUCCUAUUUGAAGGACCAGUUAUUUCCAGUUUAGUCUUGCACUACUUUUCUGCCAAUUGGAUAAAUGAAGGUGGUGAUCCAUGCUUACCGGUCCCUGUUUAGUCUCGCACUACUGGUUUUUAAGCCAGGGCAGAUUUUUCCGAGCCGAGGCAUGUGAAACUAACUAAAACUGCAUGUUGUGUUUAUAUAUAGUUAAUUCUUUGAUUGAAGAGAUGAAGACCAGGCAGGAGGAUAACAUCACCGUGAUGAAGAACUUCCUUCAGGUUCAUUAGUGAUCUUUCAAAUGUGUCAAUUUAGAGCUCAAUCUUAGUAUUUUCAUAUACUUAUGCUAUCAAUAUACUUGUUGUAUCCGAGUUUGUCAACAUUUAUGCUCUCUCUGCAUUGCAUCAACAUAUAGCAGUAUUAAAAGGGCACGGAGAACGUGUAAUGGUGCUUCUCAGUCAUGGAUGUAACAUACACUUACAAGGUAAAUAGUGAAAAUCCAUUGGCUGAGGCAAUUGUUGGAUAUGCUAUAAAGUAUAGAGAACAUGGAGAGAACUUUGAGUGGACAGAAGUUCGAGAAUUUGAAUCUGUAACCAGUCAAGGUAUCAAAACUUUUGACUGACACAGGAAAUUUAUAGUUUGAAACAAGAGCCUGGUGUUGGAUCAAGGCAGAUCUAAUUUCGGUUGAUGUUGAAGUGUUAGCAGAAAUAGAAGAACUGGCACAGAUUGCGGAUGCUCGUGAUCCCGGAAGAUGCCACAGUUUAACUAGUGUAAAAAUGUGUUGAUCAAUUUCUUUGUUUUUACACUGUUGAAUGCAUUCUUUUCUUUUCGAUAAUUCAUAAAAAUAUUUUACCACGGGUAGACAAAGAAGUGGAUGUAUUGAGUUUGAAUGUUGUUAAGUG